CUCGGCUGAGGGGACGCGAGGAUUCCGGUCGCCAGUGCUUCGGGCCCGGCCCGGACGCUUAGCAAGCUACCUGAGGAGCGGCUCUUCGGAGCCGAACCUGGAUCCCCGGGACUGAACUGCAGCCUGCUCUUCCUGCCUCUGUUCUCACGAGGGGGCUCCCGUCUCGCACCCCACCUCUGGACGUGCCUCCCUUUCCCUCUCUCCGCGUGCGGAGGGAGCCAGCGCAUAGGCCGGAGCGAGCCUGGGGGCCGCCGGCCGCGAAGGCUUCGCGGGCACCCGUUCGCCAUG
rnacentral:other from 12 species